rnacentral:rRNA from 1 species
UAAGAGGUCCAACCUGCCCGGUGAUGAAAGUUCAACGGCCGCGGUAUCCUGACCGUGCAAAGGUAGCGUAAUCACUUGUCUUUUAAAUGAAGACCUGUAUGAAUGGUUAAACGAGGGCUCAACUGUCUCCUUCUUCCGGUCAAUGAAAUUGAUCUCCCCGUGCAGAAGCGGGGAUAUUAUCAUAAGACGAGAAGACCCUGUGGAGCUUAAGACACCCGGACAGCCCAUGUCAAAACCUCUAACUACAGCCUGAACAAUCUGGCCCCUGUCCCCGUCUUCGGUUGGGGCGACCACGGGGUAAAACAAAACCCCCGCGCAGAAUGAAGAGGCCUCCCCCUCUUUCAAGCCAAAAGAAACGCCUUUAAGCAACAGAAUAUUCUGACCACAUGACCCGGCAAUCUAACCGAUCAGCGAACCGAGUUACCCCAGGGAUAACAGCGCAAUCUCCUUAUAGAGUCCAUAUCGACAAGGAGGUUUACGACCUCGAUGUUGGAUCAGGACAUCCUAAUGGUGCAGCAGCUAUUAAGGGUUCGUUUGUUCAACG